AGCGCAGGCGGGUCGGCAAGUCCUUGGUGAAAUCCUGAGGCUUAACCUCAGGACUGCCAAUGAUACUGCUGAUCUUGAGUGCAGAAGAGGAAGACGGAAUUCCUGGUGUAGCGGUGAAAUGCGUAGAUAUCAGGAAGAACACCGGUGGCGAAGGCGGUCUUCUGGUCUGCAACUGACGCUCAUGCUCGAAAGCGUGGGGAGCAAACAGGAUUAGAUACCCUGGUAGUCCACGCCCUAAACGAUGGAUACUCGAUGUCGGGUCGCAAGGCCCGGUGUCCAAGCUAACGCGUUAAGUAUCCCACCCGGGGAGUACGAUCGCAAGGUUGAA
rnacentral:rRNA from 1 species